rnacentral:rRNA from 1 species
CCUACGGGUGGCAGCAGUGAGGAAUAUUGGUCAAUGGACGAGAGUCUGAACCAGCCAAGUAGCGUGAAGGAUGACUGCCCUAUGGGUUGUAAACUUCUUUUAUAUGGGAAUAAAAUGUUCCACGUGUGGGAUUUUGUAUGUACCAUAUGAAUAAGGAUCGGCUAACUCCGUGCCAGCAGCCGCGGUAAUACGGAGGAUCCGAGCGUUAUCCGGAUUGAUUGGGUUUAAAGGGAGCGUAGGUGGAUUGUUAAGUAAGUUGUGAAAGUUUGCGGCUAAACCGUAAAAUUACAGUUGAAACUGGCAGUCUUGAGUACAGUAGAGGUGAGCGGAAUUCGUAGUGUAGCAGUGAAAUGCUUAGAUAUCAGGAAGAACACCGAUUGCGAAGGCAGCUCACUGGACUGCAACUGACACUGAGGCACGAAAGUGUGGGUAUCAAACAGGAUUAGAUACCCGGGUAGUC